UGCUACCACACACAGCCACAGCACACCUGGAGGGCAGAGGUCAGAGGUCAGCAACCACACAGCCACAGCACACCUGGAAGGCAGAGGUCAGAGGUCAGUAACCACACAGCCACUGCAGGGCAGAGGUCAGCAACCACACAGCCACAGCACACCUGGAGGGCAAAGGUCAGAGGUCAGCAACCACACAGCCACUGCAGGGCAGAGGUCAGAGGUCAGCAACCAAACAGCCACUACAGGUCAGAGGUCAGCAACCACACACAGCCAGUGAUGCUAAACUUUAAAUAGGCCGUUUGGUUUCUGUCUGGUUUCUAUUUUGCUUCUUUGAUUCACAUCCAGUCAAACGUCUGGAGUCUGUCUGGGUCACAGGAAUGUUGGGUAAGUUUUAUUCUUAUAAAUGUCAUUUUUUCCCGACAACAAACCCAAAUAAAGGCAAAUUAUUAAAUGUUUUCAAAGAAAAACGUUUAAAUCAUAAAUUUACCAACCUCUUUGAUGUUCAGGUGCAAUCUCAGCAAAACUUCGACAAUCAAAUCCUGUGAAAUAAAAGAAUAAAUAAAACUUUCAGACACAUAAUAAGCUGACAGGAAGCUGAAGCAGCUCAGCUCAGGCAGGUGAACCAGAGGUGAAAGGUCAAACUCACAGGAGUUCAGGGCUGAAUGGAAGCUGCACCAGAACAGAGAGAAGUUUUCUUCCAAUCGUUUCAUCUUUAGUCAGAAGCUUCUCCAGAACCACUGUGACACUGACCUCUACAGGAGAGCGGCCAUCUUAGCUUCUUUAAUGGCUUUUCAGAUAAAGAAUCAGUUCAGGAAUUGAACUGAACUGAUUCUUUGUUUCCAGUCGUUAUCCUCUUCUCUGAGCUCGGUUAGCAAAUCUAAACAAACUUUUCUUCUUUCAUGUUUUCACUUGUCUGAUAAAUCGGUGAAGGACAUCGUUACUCCCUACUGCGUAUAGUUUGCAUAUUUUAUGCAUUUUAUAUAUUUAGUGUUUGGUAAUUUUACCCUAGAAAAAACUAGAAUCAACCAGAAACAACUGAUGGUGUUUAGUUUGAACAUCAAAAAUCAAUCUCAUCAUCAAUAACAUGAAAUUCCUUCUUGCUCAAAUACAUUUCCCUUUUCCUUUAAUACUUUCUAGUAUAUUAAUUAAUUUACUUAAAACCAUUUUUAUCUGUUUCCUGGAGGAAAGCUGAUUCAGCAGCAGUUUGACUUUAUUUUGAAGAGAUUUGGCUUUAAAUCAAAGCUUUGUGGUUUUUCUACCUGCUGUUGUUUUUAAUCCUCUGCUCAUUUUCAUUGUUUCAGUUAUUUUGCUCUUUUUUGCUGCUUGCAUGCUGUCCUUCCUCCAGUGCCAAACCAGUGCAACCAGUAAACAGCUGUUUAAUAAACCAGCCAUAGAACAAACUCAGAUAAAAUCAGUUUUCUAAAUGUUUUAAAGAAGAAAUCAGAUAAAGAUCUGUGUCUGUAACUGGUUCAAAUAAAAUGAUUCAGCUGCAGUUUUGAUUUUUAAGUUGCAUUUUAAUGGACUUUUUGCACCUCAGCUUCCGCGUUCGGGGAAAAGCGGCUCGGUUGUUUCCGAUCCAAUAAAAAUAUCAUUUUACCCUCGGUGCCUGCAGCGCCUGGCCGAGGUUUGAACAUCGACCCGAAGCCCCAACAAGUGAACUGGUUUUAGGAUGUAGCCUCGUUAUACAUUCACUGAUACGAAGGAGUAAAAUAUCCCGGUGUGGAACUUCCUGAGGAUGAACUUCUCCUCUCCCGUCUCGAAGAUGUACUGCACCUGCCGGCUGUCGUUG